GCCGCUGUAGCUCAGUCGGUAGAGCAAAGGACUGAAAAUCCUUGUGUCGAGGGUUCAAUCCCCUCUGGCGGCA
rnacentral:tRNA from 1 species